AUUGAACGCUGGCGGCAGGCCUAACACAUGCAAGUCGAGCGAGCGGCGGACGGGUGAGUAAUGUAUGGGGACUGCCCGAUAGAGGGGGAUAACUACUGGAAACGGUGGCUAAUACCGCAUACUAUCGGAUAACCCAUAUUGGAUUAGCUAGUAGGGGGGGUAAAGGCUCACCUAGGCGACGAGCGCUAGCUGGUCUAAGAGGAUGAUCAGCCACCCUGGGACGUAGACACGGCCCAGACUCCGACGGAGGCAGCAGUGGGGAAUAUUGCACAAUGGGCGCAAGCCUGAUGCAGCCAUGCCGCGUGUAUGAAGAAGGCCUUAGGGUUGUAAAGUACUUUCAGCGGGGAGGCGUUACCCGCAGAAGAAGCACCGGCUAACUCCGUGCCAGCAGCCGCGGUAAUUC
rnacentral:rRNA from 1 species